CUACGGUGAAUACGUUCCCGGACCUUGUACACACCGCCCGCCAAGCCAUGGAAGCUGGGUGUACCUAAAGUCGAUAACCGUAAGGAGUCGCCUAGGGUAAAACUAGUAACUGGGGCU
rnacentral:rRNA from 1 species